rnacentral:rRNA from 1 species
GACGAACGCUGGCGGCGUGCUUAAUACAUGCAAGUCGAACGAAAAGGUCCUGCUUUUGCUGGGUGCACGAGUGGCGAACGGGUGUGUGACACGUGUGUAUCCUGCCCUUGACUUUGGGAUAUCUUCAGGAAACUGCGGCUAUUAUCGGAUAGGAUCUACUGCUGCACGGUGGUGGUUGGAAAGUGCCGGCGGUUGGGGCUGGUAUCGCGGCUUAUCCGCUAGUUAGUCGAGUAGGGGCUUACCAAGGUUUUGAAGGGUAGCCGGCAUGGGAGCGUGGACGGCCACAUGGGGACUGCGAUACGGCGCAGACGGCUACGGGACGCAGCAGGGGAGAGCAUUGCGCAAUGGGCGGAAGCCUGAGACAGCAGCGCCGCGUGCGGGAUGACGGCCUUCGGGUUAAAAACCGCUUUCGACUGUGAUGAAGCGUGAGUGACGGUAAUGGGUAAAGAAGCACCGGCUAACUACGUG